rnacentral:misc_RNA from 1 species
AGAGAGAGAGAGAGAGAGAGCAUUCAUUCAUGUAUUUUCUUCUGAACAAUGUGCAGUCAAGAUACAUAUAUAUUCCCUUUUCCUGUAUUCCAUUUAACGUAUAAUUACAAUGUAAAUAUCAAGGGCUUAAUACCCAUCCCCAUGAAGAUUGCAGUUUGACCUUAUAUGUUAUUUUUUAUGCAGACGCAGUGCCCCAUUUAAAAUUGAUGUUUUACGUGUGAAUCAAUGCUAACAUUUAGAUCCAAGAGAACUUUCCUGUGAAGGAUCUUGAACUUAGGAAUUGAAAGAAUCCAACUUGAAAAAGAUACUUAAGAGAGCAUCAUUUGCUGUUACUAAAUGAAGAAAGCAUGCUUUUUAGACAUUGUCAGUUCUGAUGCUGUUACCAUGAAUUUAAAAAAAAAAGAAACACAGCUA